rnacentral:lncRNA from 1 species
AUUUUUUCCUUAUUGCAGCCAGUUCCUGCUCAAUCCGUAGGCAGACAGACUGUGUAAGUUCAAAUGAUAUUCUUUGGAAAGCAUCAAAAUCUUCCACUGUGUAAACAUGGGUUUCAGCAGGAGGUGAUGCAAUUGCUUCUAACUCUGUACGCACUGCAUCCUUCACACCAACUGCAAAUAUUUCUACGUCUGCAUCCCUCAGCUUUAUUGCAGGUUCUUUAAAAGCAUCUGAUGAUUUUCCAUCAGUGAUAAGAAUCAUGACUCUUGGCACAUUUGGUCUUGAUCCUUUGCUGGUAACAAAUACUUUCUCCCUCACAUAUGUCAUCGCUUUGCCUGUGUUGGUAGAUCCACCUCUGUAGGGGAAGGUGUUAAUAGCUUGAAUUAUGUCUUCCACUCUGUUAUAUCUGUUCAAAGAAAACUCCAUAUGGGGAUCUCUGCUGUACUGGACAAGACUUAUCUGUACUUUUCGAGGCGAUAUCUCAAAGCUUUUAACUAACACUUCCAAAAAGGCUCUUACUUUAACAAAAUUGGCGAUACCAAUGCUGUAGGAGCCAUCCACUAAAAACACAACGUCAGCUUUUACAUCCACACCACGUGAGCACUCCACUUGAACUUUGACUUGUUGUGUUUUUUCCAUUAUAGUUAUCGGCUCACUGGGGGUCAGUCCUUUCAUUGCAUAAACAUUGAUUUGAUACUCUGUGUCUGGAGAGAGAUCUUUAACAUUCAGAGCAGUAGUCUGAGGACCCACACUCAACACAUGUUGUUUUCCACCAGCUAUCAUUGGGAUGAACUGUACCCGAUAGCCAGUUAUUUGGCUUGUGGAUGGAUCCCAAGUGAUCCUAACAGAUUUUGAGGAGAUCUGAGUGGCUACUAGAUUUGAAGCAGGCUCCACCACUUCUUCCCCACUAACCAGUUCACCCAGCUGUUCAUCCACUCCAGAGCACACUUGCAAUAUAAUUUCAUUCUGUAUAUCUACAAUUCCAUCAAAAUUAGCCACAUUGAACACAUGUUUCAGUGAAGGCUGAGAUGCAAUUAGCUUGAGUUCUUUUGCAUCUGCUGCUUUGAUUCCUAAAGAAAAAACUUCAACUCCUAUGUUGCGAAGCUCUCUUGCAGGAAUUUCAACUUCGUCUUGAGCUUUUCCAUCCGUAAUGACAAUUGCAACUUUGGGAAAGCCUUUUCUUGCUCCAGCUGACUCAGUGAAAGUGUUUUUAACCAGGUAAUCAAUAGCUUCACCUGUCAUUGUGUUGCCACCUUUAUAAGGUAUCCUUUUAAUUGCAUCAAGAAGAUCACUUCUUCUGAAAUACUGAUUUAAAUUGAACUCUGUUCUUGUAUCUGAACUGUACUGAACAACUCCAACUCUUGUCUUUUCUUCCCCAAUGUCGAAAGCUGAUACAAGGGCAACCAUGAAGUCCAGAAUAUAUCUGAAGUUAUUUCUCCCUACACUCCAUGAACCAUCUACCAGGAAAACUAAAUCUGUCAUUGCACUUAUGGAGCAUUUUUGUAUUUGAGCUUCAACCUUCUUUUCUUCUGGUAUGCCUGGACCACCUGUCUGAAUUGUUAGUUGGCCAAAAACAGGUAGACUCUCCUCUACCUCAUCAUAUGAAGCUAUUGAUACAACAUACUCUAUUUCAGGUAUAAGAUCUGAUAAGACAGUUUGGGUUGUGCUAGGUGAAAGAGUAAAUUCUUUAGUCGGUCCAUCAUUUGUAGGAACCACAGUUAUCCUGUAACCCACUAUUGCAUCUGGUGGCCUUUUCCAUGACAUUUGAACAUUAUGUUCAUCUAUAAUUGUAAAAUUCAAGUCUGACGGUGGAUUAACUUCAGCCUCGAUGGAGGAGAGGAGGGCGGCGGCACACAGCGCAGCCACCGCCGAGCACAGCGCUGUCCUCAUGUCUGCCCUUUCAGCUCACAACAACAUGAAUGAAUCUGGUGGAGGGAGCGGCGCGUAGCAGCGGCGGCGAAGGAGGAGCGGAGGCAGCAGCCGGGCGCGGGGGAGACGCCUCGAUGACUGUAGCUCCCGACGCGAGGGGUCCGUCGGGGAAGACUCGCCUUCUCCAAGUGGGAAGAGUCUCUCUUCAAUCUGCUACUUAAUAGAGGGCUGUUCCCAACUCUCAAUUUACCCUCGUAAGCGGUUACGAAACUGCAGGGAAGGUGGACUGCUGCCACCGGAUGAUAUAUGCGCCGCUCCGCUCCAGCAGGGAAGGGGAUCCGCUUCUGGAAACUGGCGCAUACCUCCGCGCAUUCCUGCGGCAUGAGGCGGGCGGCAGCGCGCCCGGGGGCAGGGGCCGCCCCGCCGCCCCCUCCCGCCUGCCCCGCCGCCGCGCCCGGGGGGGAGACGGACCGAGCGGUGGAAAAUCUGAGUCCCCGGGCGCGUGGGGUGUCCCCGCGGGGAACCUCGGGGCGGCACGGUGCGCAGCCACCAAAUAAUCCAUUAACAGUCAUCUUCACGCAAGCACUCGCGUUUGCCCGCCAGCCCAAGCAUCCUACAUACACAUACCGUGCGCGCGUUAGCCCACCUCCUCCCACGUACGUUUGGGGCCCUGGGGGCGAACCCCUCGCACUGCCCGACAGCGGGAACCUUCAGCACCAGCCGCGCCUCCCGAGCCGGGAGCCCGCCGUGCUGAGGGGCUCCGCGGGGCUCCCCCGCUCCCGGGUGCCUGGCACCGCGCUAGCCUUGCUCCCACCCCUGCGAAAGAGGCUCCUCCGGCACUCCCGCGGCUAAAAACCGAGGGGUCCGCGGCACAAAGACACGGAAAAAGGAGAGGCGGCGGCCAGGAUGGGGGCAGCGCAGCCCGCCUCGCCCCGGCCUCCCAUGCCGUGGGGCUCCAUCCGCGGGGCGGCGGCGACCCUGGCGGCGGCGGCGGUGUGGAGCGGCCCGGCUGGGAGCGCAGGUGUGGGGCGGCAGGGGGUCGGAAAGGGGCAGGCUGAGAAGUGCAAAUAAAUGUAGAAAAAUAAAAGAGGGAGGAAGGGAUGGAAGGGAGGGAGGAAGGGAGGAAGAGAGGAAG